rnacentral:rRNA from 1 species
UGGGGGAUAUUGCACAAUGGGCGAAAGCCUGAUGCAGCGACGCCGCGUGGGGGAUGAAGGCCUUCGGGUUGUAAACUUCUUUUGCUCUGACAAGGCGCACCAUGGGGUGUGUUGAGUGUAGGGGUUGAUUAGCGCCGGCUAACUACGUGCCAGCAGCCGCGGUAAUACGUAGGGCGCGAGCGUUGUCCGGAAUUAUUGGGCGUAAAGGGCUUGUAGGUGGCUGGUUGCGUCUGUCGUGAAAGCUCAUGGCUUAACUGUGGGUUUGCGGUGGGUACGGGCUGGCUUGAGUGCAGUAGGGGAGGCUGGAAUUCCUGGUGUAGCGGUGGAAUGCGCAGAUAUCAGGAGGAAUACCGGUGGCGAAGGCGGGUCUCUGGGCUGUUACUGACACUGAGGAGCGAAAGCAUGGGGAGCGAACAGG